GGAGGAAAGCAGGGGAUCGCAAGACCUCAUGCUCGUGGAGCGGCCGAUAUCUGAUUAGCUAGUUGGUAGGGUAAAAGCCUACCAAGGCGUCGAUCAGUAGCUGGUCUGAGAGGACGACCAGCCACACUGGUACUGAGACACGGUCCAGACUCCUACGGGAGGCAGCAGUGGGGAAUUUUGGACAAUGGGCGAAAGCCUGAUCCAGCAAUGCCGCGUGAGUGAAGAAGGCCUUCGGGUUGUAAAGCUCUUUUGUCAGGGAAGAAACGGUGAGAGCUAAUAUCUCUUGCUAAUGACGGUACCUGAAGAAUAAGCACCGGCUAACUACGUGCCAGCAGCCGCGGUAAUACGUAGGGUGCAAGCGUUAAUCGGAAUUACUGGGCGUAAAGCGUGCGCAGGCGGUUUUGUAAGUCUGAUGUGAAAUCCCCGGGCUCAACCUGGGAAUUGCGUUUGAAACUACAAAGCUAG
rnacentral:rRNA from 1 species